AGCGUACACGGUGGAUGCCCUGGCAGUCAGAGGCGAUGAAGGACGUGCUAAUCUGCGAUAAGCGUCGGUAAGGUGAUAUGAACCGUUAUAACCGGCGAUUUCCGAAUGGGGAAACCCAGUGUGAUUCGUCACACUAUCAUUAACUGAAUCCAUAGGUUAAUGAGGCGAACCGGGGGAACUGAAACAUCUAAGUACCCCGAGGAAAAGAAAUCAACCGAGAUUCCCCCAGUAGCGGCGAGCGAACGGGGAGCAGCCCAGAGCCUGAAUCAGUGUGUGUGUUAGUGGAAGCGUCUGGAAAGGCGCGCGAUACAGGGUGACAGCCCCGUACACAAAAAUACACAUACUGUGAGCUCGAUGAGUAGGGCGGGACACGUGGUAUCCUGUCUGAAUAUGGGGGGACCAUCCUCCAAGGCUAAAUACUCCUGACUGACCGAUAGUGAACCAGUACCGUGAGGGAAAGGCGAAAAGAACCCCGGCGAGGGGAGUGAAAAAGAACCUGAAACCGUGUACGUACAAGCAGUGGGAGCACGCUUAGGCGUGUGACUGCGUACCUUUUGUAUAAUGGGUCAGCGACUUAUAUUCUGUAGCAAGGUUAACCGAAUAGGGGAGCCGAAGGGAAACCGAGUCUUAACUGGGCGUUAAGUUGCAGGGUAUAGACCCGAAACCCGGUGAUCUAGCCAUGGGCAGGUUGAAGGUUGGGUAACACUAACUGGAGGACCGAACCGACUAAUGUUGAAAAAUUAGCGGAUGACUUGUGGCUGGGGGUGAAAGGCCAAUCAAACCGGGAGAUAGCUGGUUCUCCCCGAAAGCUAUUUAGGUAGCGCCUCGUGAAUUCAUCUCCGGGGGUAGAGCACUGUUUCGGCAAGGGGGUCAUCCCGACUUACCAACCCGAUGCAAACUGCGAAUACCGGAGAAUGUUAUCACGGGAGACACACGGCGGGUGCUAACGUCCGUCGUGAAGAGGGAAACAACCCAGACCGCCAGCUAAGGUCCCAAAGUCAUGGUUAAGUGGGAAACGAUGUGGGAAGGCCCAGACAGCCAGGAUGUUGGCUUAGAAGCAGCCAUCAUUUAAAGAAAGCGUAAUAGCUCACUGGUCGAGUCGGCCUGCGCGGAAGAUGUAACGGGGCUAAACCAUGCACCGAAGCUGCGGCAGCGACGCUUAUGCGUUGUUGGGUAGGGGAGCGUUCUGUAAGCCUGCGAAGGUGUGCUGUGAGGCAUGCUGGAGGUAUCAGAAGUGCGAAUGCUGACAUAAGUAACGAUAAAGCGGGUGAAAAGCCCGCUCGCCGGAAGACCAAGGGUUCCUGUCCAACGUUAAUCGGGGCAGGGUGAGUCGACCCCUAAGGCGAGGCCGAAAGGCGUAGUCGAUGGGAAACAGGUUAAUAUUCCUGUACUUGGUGUUACUGCGAAGGGGGGACGGAGAAGGCUAUGUUGGCCGGGCGACGGUUGUCCCGGUUUAAGCGUGUAGGCUGGUUUUCCAGGCAAAUCCGGAAAAUCAAGGCUGAGGCGUGAUGACGAGGCACUACGGUGCUGAAGCAACAAAUGCCAUGCUUCCAGGAAAAGCCUCUAAGCAUCAGGUAACAUCAAAUCGUACCCCAAACCGACACAGGUGGUCAGGUAGAGAAUACCAAGGCGCUUGAGAGAACUCGGGUGAAGGAACUAGGCAAAAUGGUGCCGUAACUUCGGGAGAAGGCACGCUGAUAUGUAGGUGAAGCGACUUGCUCGUGGAGCUGAAAUCAGUCGAAGAUACCAGCUGGCUGCAACUGUUUAUUAAAAACACAGCACUGUGCAAACACGAAAGUGGACGUAUACGGUGUGACGCCUGCCCGGUGCCGGAAGGUUAAUUGAUGGGGUCAGCGCAAGCGAAGCUCUUGAUCGAAGCCCCGGUAAACGGCGGCCGUAACUAUAACGGUCCUAAGGUAGCGAAAUUCCUUGUCGGGUAAGUUCCGACCUGCACGAAUGGCGUAAUGAUGGCCAGGCUGUCUCCACCCGAGACUCAGUGAAAUUGAACUCGCUGUGAAGAUGCAGUGUACCCGCGGCAAGACGGAAAGACCCCGUGAACCUUUACUAUAGCUUGACACUGAACAUUGAGCCUUGAUGUGUAGGAUAGGUGGGAGGCUUUGAAGUGUGGACGCCAGUCUGCAUGGAGCCGACCUUGAAAUACCACCCUUUAAUGUUUGAUGUUCUAACGUUGACCCGUAAUCCGGGUUGCGGACAGUGUCUGGUGGGUAGUUUGACUGGGGCGGUCUCCUCCUAAAGAGUAACGGAGGAGCACGAAGGUUGGCUAAUCCUGGUCGGACAUCAGGAGGUUAGUGCAAUGGCAUAAGCCAGCUUGACUGCGAGCGUGACGGCGCGAGCAGGUGCGAAAGCAGGUCAUAGUGAUCCGGUGGUUCUGAAUGGAAGGGCCAUCGCUCAACGGAUAAAAGGUACUCCGGGGAUAACAGGCUGAUACCGCCCAAGAGUUCAUAUCGACGGCGGUGUUUGGCACCUCGAUGUCGGCUCAUCACAUCCUGGGGCUGAAGUAGGUCCCAAGGGUAUGGCUGUUCGCCAUUUAAAGUGGUACGCGAGCUGGGUUUAGAACGUCGUGAGACAGUUCGGUCCCUAUCUGCCGUGGGCGCUGGAGAACUGAGGGGGGCUGCUCCUAGUACGAGAGGACCGGAGUGGACGCAUCACUGGUGUUCGGGUUGUCAUGCCAAUGGCACUGCCCGGUAGCUAAAUGCGGAAGAGAUAAGUGCUGAAAGCAUCUAAGCACGAAACUUGCCCCGAGAUGAGUUCUCCCUGACUCCUUGA
rnacentral:rRNA from 1 species